CGGGGCAGGCGGACGGUCGCUGCGGCAUACCCGCGCUUCGGUUGCCACACAAUCGCAGUGCACCGGCGAUUUACAGGUGCGUAAAACAAUUGUGGAACUUGAGCGAAAGGGAUGCCGGAGAGGAAAGUCCGGGCUCCACAGGGCGACGGUGGUGGGUAACGCCCACCGGCCCCGCUGUAACGGCGGGGCAAGGGAAAGCGCCACAGAAAAUAUACCGCCCGUAUCGGGUAAGGGUGAAAAGGCGAGGUAAGAGCUCACCGCGUUCCUAGUGAUAGGGACGGCACGGCAAACCCCACCGGGAGAAAGUCCGAAUAGAGGAGGCAGGGUCGGCCGUUAUAAUGACCGCGAUGCGGCCCGCAUCGUUGAGACCUUAUUGAGCGGGCGCCCAUGUGGCGCACCAGCUCGGGCCGGAGGCUCACGACUCCCGGGUAGGACGUUGGAGGUGCCCGGCAACGGGCAUCCUAGAGAAAUGGCCGUCGUCCCGGUUUUCUAAAUCGGGAUUACAAAACCCGGCUUACAGCCUGCCCCGAUUU
rnacentral:RNase_P_RNA from 1 species